UACCUGGUUGAUCCUGCCAGUAGCAUAUGCUUGUCUCAAAGAUUAAGCCAUGCAUGUCUAAGUACAAGCCGCUAGUCGGCGAAACCGCGAAUGGCUCAAUAAAUCAGUUAUGGUUCCUUAGAUCCACUCCAUCCUACUUGGAUAACUGUGGUAAUUCUAGAGCUAAUACAUGCACUCGAGCCCCGACUGCCCCGUCAAACGGGCAGAAGGGGUGCUUUUAUUAGAUCAAAACCAGUCGGGACGCCGUCAAAAAGCGGACCGUACCAUUUUGGUGACUCUGGAUAACUUCACGCCGAUCGCACGGCCUUCGCGCCGGCGACGCAUCUUUCAAAUGUCUGCCUUAUCAACUGUCGAUGGUAGGUUACGCGCCUACCAUGGUUGCAACGGGUAACGGGGAAUCGGGGUUCGAUUCCGGAGAGGGAGCCUGAGAAACGGCUACCACAUCCAAGGAAGGCAGCAGGCGCGCAAAUUACCCACUCCCGGCACGGGGAGGUAGUGACGAAAAAUAACGAUACGGGACUCUUCCGAGGCCCCGUGAUUGGAAUGAGUACACUUUAAAUCCUUUAACGAGGAACCAUUGGAGGGCAAGUCUGGUGCCAGCAGCCGCGGUAACUCCAGCUCCAAUAGCGUAUAUUAAAGUUGUUGCGGUUAAAAAGCUCGUAGUCGGAUGUCUGUCUUCGGCCGGGCGGCGCCGCUCUGAAUCAAGGGUGUUGCGUUCUUUCGCUCUGGGAGACGGGUGUCAAAGCCCGACUCUCUUCACGGUCGGACAACAUCGCCGGAGUGGUGGCCGGUGGGUCGUCGGGUAAGCGGGGUCGUUCGUCGGUUUCGGCCGCGCGUGCUUCUCCGUCCGGCGGUUCGCUCCACCCGUCAAUCGUCCGGGGUGCCCUUCACCGGGUGUCUCGGGCGGCCGGCAACGUUUACUUUGAACAAAUUAGAGUGCUCAAAGCAGGUGUAUCCCAACGCCUGAAUAUCGCAGCAUGGAAUGAUGGAAUAGGACCUCGGUCCGAUUUUGCUGGUCUUUUACUUUUGGACCCGAGGUAAUGGUCAAUAGAGACGGACGGGGGCAUUCGUACUGCGGCGACAGAGGUGAAAUUCUUGGACCGCCGCAAGACGAACAACAGCGAAGGCAUUUGCCAAGAAUGUUUUCCUUGAUCAAGAACGAAAGUUAGAGGUUCGAAGGCGAUCAGAUACCGCCCUAGUUCUAACCAUAAACGAUGCCAACCAGCAAUCCGUCGGAGUUACUCCAAUGACUCGACGGGCAGCUUCCGGGAAACCAAAGUCUUUGGGUUCCGGGGGAAGUAUGGUUGCAAAGCUGAAACUUAAAGGAAUUGACGGAAGGGCACCACCAGGAGUGGAGCCUGCGGCUUAAUUUGACUCAACACGGGAAACCUCACCAGGCCCGGACACUGGAAGGAUUGACAGAUUGAGAGCUCUUUCUUGAUUCGGUGGGUGGUGGUGCAUGGCCGUUCUUAAUUGGUGGAGCGAUUUGUCUGGUUAAUUCCGAUAACGAACGAGACUCUAGCCUGCUAAAUAGGUGACGGGUUUUAUCAAUUGAAACCGAAGGGGGUACGGAGGCGUCGGGAUCAGGUGGCGGCGGUUUCGGGUGGAGCGAGGGGGGCCGUUUUAGUGUGGCCGUUGGUCGCGACGGUUCGUGUUUUUUUUUCGGUUCGCGGCUUGGGUCGUGCGUUUCGGCGUGCGGUGCUGGUCGUGGCUGGGGAAGGAUGCGGGUCGGAGUGGUUGCGGUCCGCGGCGGUUCUCUUCCUUCUCUCGGUCGUCGUCAUCCCCGGCGAUUUCUCCUGCUCUCGCGUCCGUCACGUGUCUUCUUAGAGGGACAAGCGGCGUCCAGCCGCGUGACAGUGAGCAAUAACAGGUCUGUGAUGCCCUUAGAUGUCCUGGGCCGCACGCGCGCUACACUGAAGGAAUCAGCGUGUUUCACUCUCCCUGUCCGAAAGGACCGGGUAACCGCUGAACCUCCUUCGUGGUUGGGAUUGGGGACUGCAAUGAUCCCCAUGAACCAGGAAUCCCUAGUAGGCGCGGGUCACUAGCCCGCGUCGAUUACGUCCCUGCCCUUUGUACACACCGCCCGUCGCUACUACCGAUUGAAUGAUUUAGUGAGGCCUUCGGACGGGCUUGUCGGGGCGCCGGUUCGCGGGGAGCAAUCCCUGCGUGUCCGGUGCCUACCAACGGCGAGACUGAAAGAUGGUCGAACUUGAUCCUUUAGAGGAAGUAAAAGUCGUAACAAGGUUUCCGUAGGUGAACCUGCAGAUGGAUCAUUA
rnacentral:rRNA from 1 species